CACUCAGCUUUCUGAAAUGGUGUCCCACCGCAAGGACUGGAGAAGGUCUUCUGUCAGCCUAACAAGCAUAGCAAGAAGAUAUAGCCCCACAACCACUUUAUGCACAAAGUUAGAAGCAUAAAAUCUCAUGGAAAGAGACCGAUUAUCCACAGAAGAGGUUGUCUUGCCAUUUCUCUCAUGUUAGAGGUAAACCUCAGGUUCUCCUCCUGCCUUUUGCUAAGUAUAUGUCUUGAUGACAAGCCUUCUGCUGAUGAGCUGUGUUUCUGGACCGAUCAUGGUAGAAGUCAAUUAACGUGUCCCUCACUUGGGGUUUCUCAAGGUCAUCUAUGAACUGACUCUGUCUCAAAAAAAAAAAAGAAAAAAAAGAAAAGAAAGAACGAAAAAAAAAAACUAGGACAUGGCUAACAGGAAUGGGGACAAAGAAUCUGCACUGAUGAGGAAACUGAAACAGAAAAUCCAGAGUAAAUUCCACCAGGCCACACAGCAAGGUCUGAUAGAGCCAGGAGAGACUUUAUGAAAUCCAGACUCUCACACUAAUGCUCUAUCAGCUAGACCUCCAUGUGAGUCUCCCCAAUGUAGGUAGGAAGUGCUUUCCC
rnacentral:lncRNA from 1 species